UUCCCGUUAGAAAAAGCAUGACUCCCCUCCACCAUCGGUAGUCACUCCCUCAUUCUCCAUUCACCAUUUUCCCCAAAUUGAGAUCCCCAAUUUGAGCAACCCUUAAUUCCCGUCGCCUCCUUCGACUCACUCUACGCCGGCGACCACAACGCCCUCUCACUCCCUUCUACGUCCUCUCUACACUCCGGCUAAACAACACAGUCAAGUCACGAUUCGCCCUUCGUUCCACCACCGCCUUUGCUUUCGGUUCGCGAGGUCUCAUCACCACCACUCCGUCGCCGUCAGAACGGAGUUUCUGUGCUACUGUUUGGAAGCCGCUGCCGUGGAAUCACCGCAGCCGAACAUCAGCGCCGAAUCAGGCGCCUCAUUGUCCCAGCUUUGGCGCAAUGUCUCGCCGUCGCCACUAUUGCCUUUUUCCCUUGUUUAUUUGUAUUUUCCUGCUAUUUUUUGUGUUCCUUUUUGGAAUUUCACGGUCUUUGUUGUAUGUCAGUGUUUAUUUAAUCGAGGAAGCGGACAGACUCGCCGUCUGAUUUUGAUGCUGCCGAUUCUCGCCUAGCGGUGAGAGGCGCUCGAGAAUCCACCAAGCAGUCGCUGCCAUCGGGGUCUCACUUUGGUCGGUGUCAUUCUCCAGCCAUCUCGGCUGCAUUGUCACUAUCAAUUUCGUCGGACUUCCGUGGACUUCUCGGCUAAAUAGUUGUGUGGCAAUGGAGGCGUUCUUGUUCUAGUUCAGGCCAUCAUGAACUUAAAGUCAUCGGGCUCAGACAAUAUUUCCUCAUACAUGGCUGCUAUCUCCCGCCUAAAAUCUAAAGCUUUAUCUAUUCUUUUGCACCUUUGUGAAGCUGAAAGUGUAUCCUACCUGGAUGAGGUGGCCAGCAACACAACAACUCGGGAUGUGGCGAAGUCUGUUGGACUCGAGGUUCUUCAAUUGCUGAAAAAUGUUUGGUAUAGAUUCAAGACAGUUAAAAGCUCCCUCCGAGGCAAGUUACCCGAAGGGUCAACUGGAACGUAAUACAAAGCGCUUGGCAGAUGUCGUCUCAGAUGCUUCAAAUUUUCGGUCAUUCAUCAUGAUAAACUUUAAGCUGACAAAGUGUCUAAAGUUAGCAAGAACUUAUGUUCACAGUUGAGUCAUUCUGAAUCUUUAGUUCCAGGAGUUUUGAAUGAAGAUGAUGUAUAACUGCUGAGGUUAUUUAUAAGUCAGUUUGAGUGCCGAAUCAUUCGUGCUGCAUCGGAAGAUCAUUUAGUCCAUGAGCUUGGGAAGGGGUGGACUGCAGGAGCAACUAGCUUCCUAUAUUGGACUCUCGGCCCUGAUGAGAAAAAAAGAGGAAUAAGCUUCAUAAAAAGGAAUUUUAAAGCCACAAAAGGAAGGUAGGAAGGUAAGACGAAUCUUGUAAAGAUGACAGGAAAGAUUGCAGUAUAUAUUUAAAGUAAACAAUUUUAUCGGUCAAUCAAAACUGAAUGUUUGGAACGUAUCGAAGAUGAUCUAAAUUGACUGAGUAUUAUGUUUUUUAUUCUGAUAAAGAUACACUGGUAGAGGUUUGUUUUCAGCAUUUUGGUAUGUGAGAAGGUACCAGGUUUCCAGCAAGGCAGGAAAUCCGAGCUUUUAUUGUAGUCGUCAAAUCCUGGUCUUUGAGGAUUCUGGAAAGACUUUCUGUUUGAGUCAGAUUACAGAGCUGCUGUGUACCAAUCCUGUUGCGUUUGAGGCUACUGAGAUAAUUCACCAUAUUCUCGUGUUGCUCUUAGUCGAUUUGAAGGCCUCUCUAAGCAUUUAGAUUCGUUUUUGCAAAUGUUAUCUCUCGUGGAACUAAGGUGUUUUCCGUGAUAGUUCCUAGUGCAUAAAUAGACUAGAAAGUACUUAGUCGAUCUGAAGGUCAAGGGUGGUAGGGGGCGACUGAGUUCUUAACUUAAAAGAUGCGGGGCGGAAAGGGUGGAAAACUGAAGGCACAAGUCUAUUUAUUGAUUUUUGAGCUUGCUUUGUGAUCUUCUGUUUCUUGGUUGUUGCGCCUAUAUUUUUCCUACUUAUUUAAUUCAUUCUUUGCUGCAUUUUGCAGCUUUAUAAUUGAUCUGUUACAUAUAUUAUAUUUUUGUUUGUUAUACUGUGCUUGACGUUUUUCUACUUUUUCUAAUCCACUUUUUGCUACCUUGUAGCAUAAUUAAUAUUAACAAACAUAGCAUCCUAUUUUUCUUUGUCUCGUAUGCCCUGUACAAAUAUGUGCUAUAUAAGUGUUGUUUUAAAAUGUAAAACCCAUUAAUUGUCAAAUCUUGGCUUCAUAAUAUAUCUGUUAAAUGUUUUUAUAGGCUCUUUCCCAUUACUUACUACACACAUUUCCUUUUUACUUUGGCAUUCGGUUUGCUGUACUUGCAUCUAAAAAAAGAAAUCGCUGGCAUUGGAAGCUGGUUGAGCACUCAAUUAGUGUCAAGUAAAGAUACUUUCUAUGAGGAUCAGUCAUUAAGCAUCAACGUGUGACUCACCUUACGCUGAGUAUUGCUUUACGAGCUGUUUUAGAUGCUUUGAGUAAGCCUGCAGAUUGGCAUUGGAGCAGUUUGUGGACCGUAUCAUUGAGUAUUACUUCUCCAGUUUAGUUUUGACCACCUCACUAUUUAUUACAGCGAGUUGAAGGGUAUAAAGCUGCAACCAAUAUUUGCUUCAAUAUUCAAACAUUUAUUUAAUAAACCUAACUUUAGUUCGAUAUUAAGUGUGCCAUUUCAUACUAAAGCCAUCAAUGAAGAACUACUGCAAAAUCUUUCUGAUGCUCUACACUUAUCGGUACCUGAUAAAAUUGGAGUUGGUCUUGCUUUGUCUAAUUCUGAAGAACACGAUAUCUUUAUGAUACUAAGAAGUGUGGAAAGAAUUCAGCAUAAGUUUAGAGAGCUGUGUGCCAAACCUACUGCGUUUGAGGCUACUGUGAUAAUUCAGCAUAUUCUCGUGUUACUCUUUGUCAAUUUGAAGUCUUUAAUUAUUUAGAUUCAUUCUUGCAAAUGUUAUCUCCUGUUCCACUACUAAGGUUUUUCUGUUAUAGUUCCUAAUGCAUAAAUAAACUAGAAUGUACUUGGUCGAUAUAAAGGUCGAGGGUGGUAGGGGGCGACUAACUUCUUAACUUAAGAGAAACGGCGGAAUAGGGUGGAAAACAAAAGGCACAAGUCUAUUUAUUGGUUUUUGAGCUUGCUUUGCUUGAUCUUCUGCUUCUUGGUUGUUGCGCCUACAAUUUUCUAUUUAUUCAAUUCAUUCUUUGCUGCCUUUUGCAGCUUUAUAAUUAACCUGUAACAUAUAUUAUAUUUUUGUGUGUUAUGACGUUUUUCUAAUCCACUGUUUGCUACCUUGCAGCUUUAUAAUUAAUACAUACAUAGUAUCCUAUUUUCUUUGUCUUAUAUGCCGUGUACAAAUAUGUCUUAUAUUAGUUAUUCUUUGAUAUAUAAACCCCAUUGAUUGUCAAAUCUUGGCAUCUUAAUAUAUCUGUUAAUUGUUUUUAUAGGCUCUUUCCCAAGUACUUACUAGACACAUUUCCUUUUUACUUCGGCAUUAGGUUUGCUGAACUUGCUUCUAAAAAAGAAAUCGUGGGCCUUGGAAGCUGGUUGAGCACUCAAAUAGUGUCAAGUAAAGAUACUUUCUAGAGGAUCAGUCAUUAAGCAUAAACUUGUGACUAACCUUAUGUUGGGUAUUGCUUUACGAGCUGUUUUCGAUGCUUUGAGGAAGCUUGCAAAUUCAAAAGUUUGUUCCUUCCUAGGCAUUGGAGCAGUUUGUGGGUCAUCUCAUUAAGAAUUAUUGAUCCAGUUCAGGUUUGAGCACCUCACUAUUUAUUCCAGCGAGUUGAAGGGUAUAAAGCUGCAACCAAUAAUUGCUUCAAUAUUCAAAUAUUUAUUUAUUAAACCUAACUUUAGUUCGAUAUUAAGUGUGUCAUUUCAUACUAAAGCCAUCAAUGAAGAACUACUGCAAAAUCUUUCUGAUGCUCUACACUUGUCGGUACCUAAUAAAAUUUGGGUUGGACUUGCUUUGUCUAAUUAUGAGGAACACGAUAUCUGCACGAUACCAGGAUGUGUGGAAAGACUUUCUGUUUGAGUCAGAUUGCUGCGUUUGAGGCUACUGAGAUAAUUCAGCAUAUUCUUGUGUUAUUCUUGGGAAACUAGGGUGUUUUCCGUGAUAGUUCCUAGUUGUCUGUAAUGUUGUAAAAUACGCUUCAACCUAACUAUGUUACUUGUAAUGUUACCCCGUUCUAAAAUUUUCAACUUGCCUAUAAUGUUUAUCCUUUGUGAAUGCUUGUGCUUCAGGAUCAGUCAUUAAGCAUCAACUUGUGACUAACCUUAUGCUGGGUAUUGCUUUACGAGCGGUUUUCAAUUCUUUGAGGAAGCUUGCAAAUUCAAAAGUUUGUUCCUUCCUAGGCAUUGGAACAGUUUGUGGACGGUCUCAUUUAGUGGCCACUGUACUGCCAUCAUAUCCUGCACUUUGUAACAUUUAUAGGGAGGGCAGUUAACAGUAUUUCAGCGGCUUAUACUGAACUGAUGUUAGCCAUAGUGCCAAUACUGAUCACCGACACAGUCAUAUUCAAUCUUCAUCUCCACAUGUAGAGACUGCAGGCCCACCAUUUUCUGUGAUCGGACCCGGCAGCAUAUUGUCUGGAUUAGCAAUUCCCUCUUCGAUCCCACUACAACAGAGACCACCAAGUUCUCUAAAUGAGAGUUCACUCCUAAUUACAUGAAGCCAUCACAACACACCUACCCUUCCUAAGGCAAGUAAUAGGGUCUUUGUCUACUUUGAUGUAGUUCACUUGAUACUUUUUCAUUUUUACCUUGUUUUGACUGUAUUAUUAAGAGCUAAUCUACUCAAACCCACAAUGCAGUCACUCAGUGGUGCUUUGCUGUCAUUAAAAUCUGCCUCGUCGGGUUUACCACGUUCUUCUAGAUAAACCUCAGCAAGUAAAUUG